CUUGUUGCUGAAACCUUCUUAAAAACACAUACCCACCAGGGAAUUUUUUAAUAGGUUACUUUUAUCAUUUUGUAUUAGCAGAAACACCCAUGUCAUACUGCUAAAGUAUAUAUCCAAUAUGUUACCUUGUUUUGGAAGACACCCUUCCAAAACACCACUUAUACACACAUCUUAAGCGCGUGUUAAUACCAUUAAUACAUAGAGUUACUUAAUCACUAAAUCAUGAAAACAAUGGUACAAAUGUUGAGCCAAAACUGAAAGUGGACUUAAAAUGGUAAUUGCAAUUGUUGCUAACUAUAAGUAAUAAUGAAUGGAAAAGGUGUGGGGUAUGGUGCCAUUGUUUCUUAGGAUAUAUAAAGAACCUGCAUAACCCUGUGUAACACACAACAAAAUAGACAACGUAACCAUUAAUGUGUUAGACAGCAAAGGCAAUGUUGUCAUGCUAACGGUUUCCAAGGACAUCGCUGAAAGAAUGCAAAAUGGUAAGUAAACCACAUGACUGUGAAAUAAUUACAAGUCACCAAUGAUUUGUGCAAGUGUUUUAUUUAUCAUUUAUUCCCCCAGAUCAAAUGUUCCUUUCCUAUGUCAUGGAGAAAGCUGUUGAAACAAAAGCUCUCCAGCUUGUGCUGCAAAGCUUCUCCAACCUCCUAUUCCAUGUCCCACUACCUCCAUUAGGUCGCCAGCACCCCUAAACCUCAGUUUUGUGAAACCACCAUCCAGUGCCCCAUUACUACCACUAGGCCCCCUGUACUACUUACCUCCACUGUCAAGGACCCACCACCUUCCACUCUGCAACCUGGUGCAGUGUGUGGAAACCCUUCAGCAUCCAUUCAACCUUCAUCCCCUUCCUUCCAGUCAGACAGGCAUGAAUCUCAAGAAAUAACACAUACAAUGACACUAUUUCUACUGGACCUUACAAAAACUCACCAGCACCUUUAUUUUCGGAACAAAAUGGCAUUCUAUAAAAAAAAUACAAAACUUAUUCUCACUAAAGGGCUACAACUUGUCAAGUGAGAAAAUUCAUGUUAGCAAACAUGUUAACUACUUAUAAGAGAGUGAAAGACAGGCGCCGUGCAACUGGGGAAGGGAAGAUCACCUGGGAGUACUAUACACUAAUGGAUGAGUUAUUUGGGUCAUCGGGGAUCGGUACUGCACCACCUGGCACCAUUCACUCCAUACCUCUGGGUUUGGAAGAGACCUCUUCCACAAGCAGGCCCACAACGUCUUCUCUUCAAGACCAGCCGGUAGGUGCUAGUAUGGAUGAACAGCCAGGAACUGCUACCAUACAAAAUGCAAACAUCACAAGAAGGCAAAGACGACCACUUACAAUUCCUGGACGCUUAUGAAGAGCAUGCAGAGAGAAGGACUGCUGUGCUUGAGUCCCUGGUAAGGCCAGAUCUGGAGAGAUGGCGGCGACUUAAGGAGAGGCGGAGAAGGUCCUUCAAAAAAAAAAGAUGGUGACCAGCUUGGGAUCAAUUGUGGAGGAGCAAAUUAUGCAUCUAUUACAGAACCCACAUGAACCCCAAUAAAAUUAUAAUCUAAAGAUGUUAUCUCUUUUGAUUUACACCUUUCCCCAAAAUGUCAUAUGUUUUUUUUUUUCCCAAAUAACAAUUUCUAAUGACAAACUAAUUUUGUU